rnacentral:miRNA from 1 species
UGCGGCAGAGCAUUAGAGAAC